AUUCGGCUUAGAGUUUGAGCCUGGCUCAGAACGAACGCUGGCGGCAGGCUUAACACAUGCAAGUCGAACGCCCCGCAAGGGGAGUGGCAGACGGGUGAGUAACGCGUGGGAAUCUACCGAGCCGUAGGGAAUAACGCAUGGAAACGUGUGCUAAUACCGUAUAUGUCGUUAGGGGGAAAGAUAAAUCGGGGUUUGAUGAGCCCGCGCCGGCUUAAGCUUGUUGGUGGGGUAAAGGCCUACCAAGGCGACGAUCCAUAGCUGGUCUGAGAGGAUGAUCAGCCACAUUGGGAUUGAGACACGGCCCAAACUCCUACGGGAGGCAGCAGUGGGGAAUAUUGGACAAUGGGUUGUUAGGUUGCU
rnacentral:rRNA from 1 species